GACGAACGCUGGCGGCGUGCUUAACACAUGCAAGUCGAACGCUGAAGCUCAGCUUUUGUUGGGUGGAUGAGUGGCGAGCGAGUGAGUAACACGUGAGUAACCUGCCCCCUUCUUUGGGAUAACGCCCGGAAACGGGUGCUAAUACUGGAUAUUCACUGGUCUUCGCAUGGGGGUUGGUGGAAAGGGUUUUUCUGGUGGGGGAUGGGCUCGCGGCCUAUCAGCUUGUUGGUGGGGUGAUGGCCUACCAAGGCUUUGACGGGUAGCCGGCCUGAGAGGGUGACCGGUCACAUUGGGACUGAGAUACGGCCCAGACUCCUACGGGAGGCAGCAGUGGGGAAUAUUGCACAAUGGGCGCAAGCCUGAUGCAGCGACGCCGCGUGAGGGAUGGAGGCCUUCGGGUUGUGAACCUCUUUCGCUCAUGGUCAAGCCGCAACAAUGGUUGUGGUGAGGGUAGUGGGUAAAGAAGCGCCGGCUAACUACGUG
rnacentral:rRNA from 1 species